ACAAAUGAGUGAGAUUUGCCAGUGACAUCUGUCACCCCAACAUGUUUCAGACUGAUUCAGCUGAUGUGGCUACACAGGGUUGCCUUUCUCCCUCAGUACAGCAGUUGCCCCUGUUCCAAAGCAGCAUGCUCAACUGAAAAGACAAGUUUUCAUUAUAGAGGAGGAUGGCCAGAGUAAAGGAUAUAGGAGUAGCUGAACUAUCCUAUUGGAUCUUCCAAACACAUUCUCAAGAGAUACUCCCAUGUUACUGCAUGACUGUUUCCACUU
rnacentral:sRNA from 1 species